rnacentral:tRNA from 1 species
GCGCCGUUAGCUCAGUCUGGAAGAGCACCGGACUUUUAAUCCGGGGGUCGCAGGUUCGAAUCCUGCACGGCGCACCA